rnacentral:lncRNA from 1 species
CGCCCCCUACCAGCUUCACAGGCCUGCCCUGGGAAAGGCAGCUGGGCUCAACCCUGGGGCCGUCCUGUCUCUGUUCUGUCGAUGCCCACCCGAUCCCUUUCCCUCCUUAAACCUCAACCGAGGGUAAACUCAAGACAGCAAGGAGCCCGCACCUCGUCGCCCGGCUUGUUGCUGCGCUGUUGGGAGCGCUGCCCUUGCUGCCUUCACCCCGGCUACAGAACACACGUGAGGAGACUGUCCAGUGAUGCCCAGUCUCCUGCCCCAUUUCUAAUAAUUCAACUUCUUCUCAGCUAUUGGAACGAAAGCCCCUCUCACCUCAGAAUUUUCCAAAUGCCCCAACAAACCGCAACUUACAGCAAAUGGGACCACCCACAGCAAUUCUUCUUUGUUUACUGUAAGGGAGGUAACAGUGGGAACAGCACAGAACAUCGGCAAUGAAAAACGGGUUUCCCUCCCACGCUCGAACCCUGGUCCCCCUCCUCAGAAGUAACCAUCGUCCAUGGAUGUUUGCUGUUCUAUUUUCAAUACCUUACUGUAUGUGUGGGCUGUUUCAUAAUCAGAAGAAGAUAUGAUUUGGGCCGCAUGAAUGAUCUCAAGGUCAUACAAAAGGACAACAGGACAGGAUGCCAGCAAGCUCUGUCCCCAUCUCAACUGUGUGAAGUUUCCUCCUCUCUCCUUAAAUCUUAUUUUUAAAAAUUGCCAACCUUUCAGAAAAGGUGUAAACCUUUGC